UUUCACUGGAAAACAUCACACCACAAGUGAAUUUUGGUCAUUACACAUCUGACAGGUUUGAAGAAGCGAUUGCUUUAUACACCACAGACCAUGUGUGCUAAAACACAGACUCAGCGCUUAAACUAUAAACAGUAUAAAACUGCUGAAACGUCAGAUUUAUUCAAUAAGCACAUUUCCCUCGUUAUAACAAAAACUGGAGCAAGCAUACUAAAAUUCUCCCGCAGUUUUCCAUUGGCAGAAGCUUGCAUCCAGAAUAUACAAUCGAAGCACAGCUAAGCUUUAAGGAUUAAUCUUCUCACUGAGCAGCAAACCAUAAACUUUCUGGCAUUUCUGAGACUGGACCCCACAACCUUCCGACCACUUUAACCACGUCGCCAACAACGUCCUUUUGUGACUCAGAGUCCAAACAGGACUUUCAACCAGAAAGAAGAAAUUUCAAUAGAUAAAUAAAAAUGCAUUCUCAAAGUUUUCUGAGCAACGCAGCCAACAGGAAGUGACCUUGGCAACCAGAUCAGAAUAAACACACAUCCAUUCCCUGUGUUUGAGUUACGGGAAGUAGGGAGCAGGUGAAUGAGCAUCCACAAACAAAGAUUUGCUAUGUUUAAUUUUAAAAGCUUUGGAAAAGUGUUGCGUUUAAAUACCUUCAUUUCCAAAAAAUCCUCAGGUUCUAUUAUCCUAGUUGCUAAAGUUUAAAGUUUGAGCCUCUCCUGCAUUUCCGCUUGUUGAGUAACGUGCUAGAGCUCCUGUGUGAGAGGUUCUGAGGCUCUGAGCCUGUGAUCAGAAGGUUGUAAGUUCAAAUCCCAGGAGUGUCAGAGAUCCACUGUUAACCCUGAGCUGUUAGAUUGGAUUGUGUCGCUUCCCAAUUAGACGUUACUUUGGAUUAAAAACAUCUGCCAACAUUAAUAAAAGAAAAUAGACUAGAAAACAUCCAGGAACAUCAAAAAGUCAUUUAUUAGCACAAAUGAUGUUGGUGUGAAAUGUUUUAAAAACUAUCCCAUUAACACAGUGUUCACUGUGUUCAGAACCCUGAAGGAAACAUUUAAAGAUUCUGUGUAGAAGCCUUACAACAAUGUGUUUUUUUUUUUUUUAUUAAAAAACAAUUAAGUAGAGUAGAACCUUUCUGUAAACUAAGAACCUUAAUUAUCCAAUGAACACUUAAAGAAUCCUCGUUCUAAAAGUGUACUGAAUUGUCGUUAAAAAAAAUUCAGAACCCGUAAGUGUUCUUUGUCUCUGUGAGCAAAUAUUAAAAGCGUCACAGUGUGUUUUCUUAUCAGAAAGCGUUGAGGAGAAUUUUUUAGGACGUUAAGAACUCUUAAUUAACACUUAAAGAACCAUGGAAGACAUUUGAAGAACCUUCUUUUUUUUUUCCUAAAAAUGUUCACUCAAAAAAUUCUCUUAAGGGUUCUUCAGUUUCUCCUCUGAGGGAACCAUUAAAGGUUCUGUGCAGAACCCUACAACAGAGUGCUUUACCUUCAGAAAGAGUUCAAAGUAGGACUCUUUUUGGGAAACUAAGAACCCAAUAAACAAUUCAAGAACUCUUGUUUCUAUGUACUAAUCUUCUUAGUAUUUAGAACUUCUCAGAAGGUACAUGCUUAGAAAAAAAAAAUGGUUCUUCAAGAGUUCUUUGGAAAAUUAGCCUACUAAAUGGGUUCUACUUGGAAUCCUUUCUGAACAAUUAAUUACAAUUAAAAUUGCAAUUAAUAAUUAAUACCUCAUUUACAUUAUUAUUAAAUAAAUAUAUAAAUUAUAAUGUUUUAAUGUUCUUUAUUUAUAAAAACAUCACACUCUUCUACACAGAAUCUUUAAGGAGUGUGUAUAAAGUUGAAUAGUUUUGCUCAGUGAAGAUGCUGUAACAUUAAGUAUACAGUGUAGGACGUUUAAACAGAGCUCUCAGAUAAACGUGUGAUGCCUUUGGGCUACAAGUUAAACUGCUGGUUUGUGUCUUUAGUGAAACAGGAUCAGGACAAAGAGAAGACGAGAUCCAGCACAUGACUCAAAACCACGGAAUACUCUUACGGUCGUCCUGCAACUCUUUCUGAGCGACUCUGUGUGUGUGUGUGUGUGUGUGUGUGUGUGUGUGUGUGUGUGUGUGUGUACACACUCACCCGGAGUCCAGCAGAGGACGAUGACGAGGAUCAUGUACCUGGCCGAGGACCAGAUCCUCUCUGCUCGCCUCGCACCACCCUGGUCAUAACGCCUCAAUUUGACCUGGAGCCUCCAGUACAUCAACUGCAGAGCGACAGAGACAUGGCCGUGCAAAAUACAGCAGAUGAGGACAGACAGCACACUUGUAAAGUGGAACAGACUUCAUUAUCAUCGAUGUGCAGGUGGAGGAACAGAAUACAACUGCAACAGAACACAGAGUAGAGUCACUCACACACACACACACACUCACACACACACUGUUUGUACACCCCUAGUUAUACUGUAGAAGGUCUUCAUUUUCACUAUUUCCUGAGAAAAGUUUUAAACAAUCCUUUUUUUGUAUUUAAAAUUCUUGACAGUUUUCCUGAUGAAGCUCUGCACAUUCUCUUCAUCUUCUCACCCAAAUAACCCGAGCUCCUCAGCUCCUCACUGCUUCUCCUGAGUUCUACAUGAAAACUACGUGUUUGAGGGAAACGAUUCUUUUUAAGUAAAAAACAAAAAAAUAAAAACAAACGGAAUUUUUAUUCAGUAUUUACAUUAGCUUGUCUUGUGUUAAACUAACCCUAACUAAUCUAUAGGGUUCUGUGGUUUGUCUGUUAAAGACUUUUUGUAAAACCCCACAACAUGCUUUCCAAGUAGAACCUCAUUAAAUCUUCUAAAGAACCCUCGAGAAACCCUUUUCUUUAAGAGUGCGAGAAGUGUUUUUUUGUUUGUUUGUUUUUUUUUCCAUCUGCUCAUUUAUUAAUAGCAAAAAAAUAUUAGCAUAAAAUUUAUAAUGUAAUCUCUCACAGCAUAUAUAUAUAUAUACACUGUAUAUAUAAAGAAUAACACAUGGCAGACUGAGCAGUUAUACGGAAAUAAUCAACGCUGGGGUCGUGAGAAACGGCUCGAUAUGAAGCAGAGUUACUUUUACCACCCUAAAGUUGAUUAUUUUCCUAGAACAGCGUGGUCCAAAGUGUUAGUCUGCAACAGCAAUUUGCCAACAACAACCAUGAGUAAUUUAUUAAUGAAUGACAUGUUGAGUAUUUUACCAGUUUAUAGUUAGAUGUAAUGAUGUGGAACGUCUGUG